CUAUGAACGUGCUGGAGCUGCUGCACGGAAGGACUAUCUUCUCUUUGCCUGUGUGAGUGGAUAAAUUUUCGUCUCUAGCUUUACUCCUGAAAAUUACUGAAUCUGAACACAGGGCAUAAUAAACAACAAAGCAGCCGUGAACAGCUGACGUUUCAGGCUAUGUAAGUAUGCAGUGCUAAGUAUCUCAGCUCAGGACUUACAGCUGGACAAUGGAAACCUGGAGAAAACUUCAGCACUGUGGUGUCCAAAGUCCCCCAGCUGAUACCUAAAUCCUGAGAAACACAUUGCCCAGCUUCCGGAGUGCAAAAAUCCAGCACGGGCUGUUCUAAACACACUACUUAGGGGGGAAAAAAUGAUGUUAAGAGUUUGCCAGUUGAAUUUCAGUUGCUUUAAGCACAUUAAUUCUUGCUCAAUGUCAGUAGGCGUAUGCAGCUGGAAGGAGGGCCAGCUCAGACCAGCACUGAGGAGGCUCCUUGGGAUAACUAUCCUGCUGCAGAGAAAUUCCCAUCAAUCCAGUAUGUAUCAGCUGGAUCCCAGAAUGUUCUUACGCAUUCCAGAUAUUCUGGGGAGGAACUGGAAGAGUCAUCAUGUGCAUUUUACCUUAAACGGCCCUGGAGAUCAGUCAGGCGUUUUGUUCUGCCCCUGCUUAAAAUCACAUAGUAAAGCAUAUGCAAAUGUUGAUGCCCACAUUCUUGUCAUUAUCCUGAAAACAGGUUAGCUCAAACGUCUUUAAUCCUUGAAUUUUCAUGCCAAAUCCCUGGUAACCCCCUCUUUGUUAGUUCCCAGAGCACUGUUUGACUCCCUUCAGCUAAAAUUCUUUGUAGCUUUUGAUGUCCUUUCUAAUUAUUUGCAUCUUUGUCUUUUUAAGUAUUUAGAUGUCUUUGGAGCUUGAUUUACAUUUGCAACCAAUGCUUUGUGUGUCCUGCUGGUUCAUUCCCCUGGACUAUGCAUGAUGGAGCCGCCCCUGCUCCUUGUCCUGACCAAAGACCAUGAAGCCCAGUCUUCACGGAGCUGCUCAGCCCACUGAGAGUAAUAGCAGUGAGUAAUAGGAGUGGGCCCUUCUGCAGGCUGGGAGCAUCAGGCGAGUGUGGAAGGAAGAGUCAGAGAUCUUCCUCUGUCAUCUAGAAGAUGCCCACAGUGGAUAAUGCUUUCCCCUUCAGCUUGGUUCUGUGUCCUAUGUGAGUUGCUUUUAGGGACUUGGAAAAAUAUUUCCUUUUGCUUUGCUGAUAUUUUCUGCAUAUUUUGUGUAGGUAUAUUAAAGGAAUUGUCUCCUUGUGCAUCACAUCCAUCAGGUAUGAUAGGUGAAGGUCAUCAUCACUGCUAUGUUCCCAG
ensembl:lncRNA